GGUUAAGCGACUAAGCGUACACGGUGGAUGCCCUGGCAGUCAGAGGCGAUGAAGGACGUGCUAAUCUGCGAAAAGCGUCGGUAAGGUGAUAUGAACCGUUAUAACCGGCGAUGUCCGAAUGGGGAAACCCAGUGCAAUUCGUUGCACUAUCGUUAACUGAAUACAUAGGUUAACGAGGCGAACCGGGGGAACUGAAACAUCUAAGUACCCCGAGGAAAAGAAAUCAACCGAGAUUCCCCCAGUAGCGGCGAGCGAACGGGGAGCAGCCCAGAGUCUGAAUCAGCUUGUGUGUUAGUGGAACGGUCUGGAAAGUCCGACGGUACAGGGUGAUAGUCCCGUACACCAAAAUGCACAGGUUGUGAACUCGAAGAGUAGGGCGGGACACGUGGUAUCCUGUCUGAAUAUGGGGGGACCAUCCUCCAAGGCUAAAUACUCCUGACUGACCGAUAGUGAACCAGUACCGUGAGGGAAAGGCGAAAAGAACCCCGGCGAGGGGAGUGAAAAAGAACCUGAAACCGUGUACGUACAAGCAGUGGGAGCACCUUCGGGUGUGACUGCGUACCUUUUGUAUAAUGGGUCAGCGACUUAUAUUCUGUAGCAAGGUUAACCGUAUAGGGGAGCCGCAGGGAAACCGAGUCUUAACUGGGCGUUAAGUUGCAGGGUAUAGACCCGAAACCCGGUGAUCUAGCCAUGGGCAGGUUGAAGGUUGGGUAACACUAACUGGAGGACCGAACCGACUAAUGUUGAAAAAUUAGCGGAUGACUUGUGGCUGGGGGUGAAAGGCCAAUCAAACCGGGAGAUAGCUGGUUCUCCCCGAAAGCUAUUUAGGUAGCGCCUCGUGAAUUCAUCUUCGGGGGUAGAGCACUGUUUCGGCUAGGGGGUCAUCCCGACUUACCAACCCGAUGCAAACUACGAAUACCGAAGAAUGUUAUCACGGGAGACACACGGCGGGUGCUAACGUCCGUCGUGAAGAGGGAAACAACCCAGACCGCCAGCUAAGGUCCCAAAGUCAUGGUUAAGUGGGAAACGAUGUGGGAAGGCACAGACAGCCAGGAUGUUGGCUUAGAAGCAGCCAUCAUUUAAAGAAAGCGUAAUAGCUCACUGGUCGAGUCGGCCUGCGCGGAAGAUGUAACGGGGCUAAACCAUGCACCGAAGCUGCGGCAGCGACACUAUGUGUUGUUGGGUAGGGGAGCGUUCUGUAAGCCUGCGAAGGUGUGCUGUGAGGCAUGCUGGAGGUAUCAGAAGUGCGAAUGCUGACAUAAGUAACGAUAAAGCGGGUGAAAAGCCCGCUCGCCGGAAGACCAAGGGUUCCUGUCCAACGUUAAUCGGGGCAGGGUGAGUCGACCCCUAAGGCGAGGCCGAAAGGCGUAGUCGAUGGGAAACAGGUUAAUAUUCCUGUACUUGGUGUUACUGCGAAGGGGGGACGGAGAAGGCUAUGUUAGCCGGGCGACGGUUGUCCCGGUUUAAGCAUGUAGGCUGGUUGUCCAGGCAAAUCCGGAUAAUCAAGGCUGAGGUGUGAUGACGAGGCACUACGGUGCUGAAGUAACAAAUGCCCUGCUUCCAGGAAAAGCCUCUAAGCAUCAGGUAACAUUAAAUCGUACCCCAAACCGACACAGGUGGUCAGGUAGAGAAUACCAAGGCGCUUGAGAGAACUCGGGUGAAGGAACUAGGCAAAAUGGUGCCGUAACUUCGGGAGAAGGCACGCUGGUGUGUAGGUGAAGUCCCUGCGGAUGGAGCUGAGACCAGUCGAAGAUACCAGCUGGCUGCAACUGUUUAUUAAAAACACAGCACUGUGCAAACACGAAAGUGGACGUAUACGGUGUGACGCCUGCCCGGUGCCGGAAGGUUAAUUGAUGGGGUUAUCCGUAAGGAGAAGCUCUUGAUCGAAGCCCCGGUAAACGGCGGCCGUAACUAUAACGGUCCUAAGGUAGCGAAAUUCCUUGUCGGGUAAGUUCCGACCUGCACGAAUGGCGUAAUGAUGGCCAGGCUGUCUCCACCCGAGACUCAGUGAAAUUGAACUCGCUGUGAAGAUGCAGUGUACCCGCGGCAAGACGGAAAGACCCCGUGAACCUUUACUAUAGCUUGACACUGAACAUUGAGCCUUGAUGUGUAGGAUAGGUGGGAGGCUUUGAAGCGUGGACGCCAGUCUGCGUGGAGCCAACCUUGAAAUACCACCCUUUAAUGUUUGAUGUUCUAACGUUGGCCCCUUACCGGGGUUGCGGACAGUGUCUGGUGGGUAGUUUGACUGGGGCGGUCUCCUCCCAAAGCGUAACGGAGGAGCACGAAGGUUAGCUAAUCCUGGUCGGACAUCAGGAGGUUAGUGCAAUGGCAUAAGCUAGCUUGACUGCGAGCGUGACGGCGCGAGCAGGUGCGAAAGCAGGUCAUAGUGAUCCGGUGGUUCUGAAUGGAAGGGCCAUCGCUCAACGGAUAAAAGGUACUCCGGGGAUAACAGGCUGAUACCGCCCAAGAGUUCAUAUCGACGGCGGUGUUUGGCACCUCGAUGUCGGCUCAUCACAUCCUGGGGCUGAAGUAGGUCCCAAGGGUAUGGCUGUUCGCCAUUUAAAGUGGUACGCGAGCUGGGUUUAGAACGUCGUGAGACAGUUCGGUCCCUAUCUGCCGUGGGCGCUGGAGAAUUGAGGGGGGCUGCUCCUAGUACGAGAGGACCGGAGUGGACGCAUCACUGGUGUUCGGGUUGUCAUGCCAAUGGCACUGCCCGGUAGCUAAAUGCGGAAGAGAUAAGUGCUGAAAGCAUCUAAGCACGAAACUUGCCCCGAGAUGAGUUCUCCCUGAGACUUUAAGUCUCCUGAAGGAACGUUAAAGACGAUGACGUUGAUAGGCCGGGUGUGUAAGCGCAGCGAUGCGUUGAGCUAACCGGUACUAAUGAACCGUGAGGCUUAACCUU
rnacentral:rRNA from 1 species